rnacentral:rRNA from 1 species
AACGAACGCUGGCGGCAGGCCUAACACAUGCAAGUCGAGCGCCCCGCAAGGGGAGCGGCGGACGGGUGAGUAACGCGUGGGAACGUACCCUUUGCUACGGAAUAGCCUCGGGAAACUGGGAGUAAUACCGUAUGUGCCCUUCGGGGGAAAGAUUUAUCGCCAAAGGAUUAGCCCGCGUUGGAUUAGAUAGUUGGUGGGGUAAUGGCCUACCAAGUCUACGAUCCAUAGCUGGUUUGAGAGGAUGAUCAGCAACACUGGGACUGAGACACGGCCCAGACUCCUACGGGAGGCAGCAGUGGGGAAUCUUAGACAAUGGGCGCAAGCCUGAUCUAGCCAUGCCGCGUGGACGAUGAAGGCCUUAGGGUUGUAAAGUCCUUUCAGAUGGGAAGAUAUUGACGGUACCAUCAGAAGAAGCCCCGGCUAACUCCGUG